AUUGAACGCUGGCGGCAUGCUUUACACAUGCAAGUCGAACGGUAACAGGCCUUCGGGUGCUGACGAGUGGCGAACGGGUGAGUAAUGCAUCGGAACGUGCCCAGAGGUGGGGGAUAACGCAGCGAAAGCUGUGCUAAUACCGCAUGUGAUCUGAGGAUGAAAGCGGGGGACCAGGCAGCAAUGUUUGGCCUCGCGCCUUUGGAGCGGCCGAUGUCAGAUUAGGUAGUUGGUGGGGUAAAGGCCUACCAAGCCGACGAUCUGUAGCUGGUCUGAGAGGACGACCAGCCACACUGGGACUGAGACACGGCCCAGACUCCUACGGGAGGCAGCAGUGGGGAAUUUUGGACAAUGGGCGCAAGCCUGAUCCAGCAAUGCCGCGUGCGGGAAGAAGGCCUUCGGGUUGUAAACCGCUUUUGUACGGAACGAAAAGGCUCUGGCUAAUACCCGGGGCUGAUGACGGUACCGUAAGAAUAAGCACCGGCUAACUACGUG
rnacentral:rRNA from 1 species